rnacentral:rRNA from 2 species
AAAUUGAAGAGUUUGAUCAUGGCUCAGAUUGAACGCUGGCGGCAGGCCUAACACAUGCAAGUCGAGCGGUAGCACAGAGAGCUUGCUCUCGGGUGACGAGCGGCGGACGGGUGAGUAAUGUCUGGGAAACUGCCUGAUGGAGGGGGAUAACUACUGGAAACGGUAGCUAAUACCGCAUAAUGUCGCAAGACCAAAGUGGGGGACCUUCGGGCCUCAUGCCAUCAGAUGUGCCCAGAUGGGAUUAGCUAGUAGGUGGGGUAACGGCUCACCUAGGCGACGAUCCCUAGCUGGUCUGAGAGGAUGACCAGCCACACUGGAACUGAGACACGGUCCAGACUCCUACGGGAGGCAGCAGUGGGGAAUAUUGCACAAUGGGCGCAAGCCUGAUGCAGCCAUGCCGCGUGUGUGAAGAAGGCCUUCGGGUUGUAAAGCACUUUCAGCGGGGAGGAAGGCGAUAAGGUUAAUAACCUUGUCGAUUGACGUUACCCGCAGAAGAAGCACCGGCUAACUCCGUGCCAGCAGCCGCGGUAAUACGGAGGGUGCAAGCGUUAAUCGGAAUUACUGGGCGUAAAGCGCACGCAGGCGGUCUGUCAAGUCGGAUGUGAAAUCCCCGGGCU